GGCAGCAUGGUGUAGUGGUUUGAGUGUUGGACUAGGAUUCCAAGAGACUAGGGUUCAAAUCCCCAUUCACUUC